CAUAGAAUAGGAAUGAAGUAGGAAAAAUGGAUCAGGAGAUCCACUCCGAUCAAUACCUCCCCCAUUUAACUUUCCAUUUCUCAAGCCCACACAAAUGCAGAAACGAAAAAAUUCCAGCUCCAAAAAAUCGAAAAUGGCGGGAUCAGCUUUGGCCAUAACCACCACCAACAAGGAGAGUGCGAACCACGCAUUCGAUGUAUGGCAGGUUUCAUCAACCGCAGCUCAUCCGCUUUAAAGAGCACUUAUCCUUCUCCGGUGCCGGUUCCGAAGCAUCGCCUCCGCGGCGCCUAGAUUUCCUCGUCCACCGCCGCAUCCAUCAAGCUCAUUUACGAGAGAACCUCCUCCGGAAUGGAUGAAGCGUUCUCGUCCUCUCUCUCGAUCAAAAACCCUUGUAAGCUUGAAAAUUAGCUCAUUGUGUUUGAUUUUCUAGUAAAAAUUCAUCCGUUGUGUAGAUCGUGUACUUCCACUACUGUUUUUUAACUGUUGAGUUCGAAUCAGCUUGAUCUCGUUACUGCUUAUCUCUGUUUUCUGAAUCGUGCUCUAAUCAGAUUACUCGGACAUUUGCUUUUUAAAGUAGUCGUUUAUGUUGGUAGAUAUAGCAGGUUAUCAUGCCGUGAAGCUAAAUUUGUCGUUAUUGAGUAGAGAAAUUGAAUUUCUCUGUUAAUGUAGUUUUUAUUAAAAGUUCAUGCCAAUUGGUGAUAGGAGGAGUAGCCACGGGACUUAUAGUGUGAUUCUACUUCUCUCUUUAAACUGACGUGCCAUAUUUGUUAUAGGAGUUCGUGUUUGUUUCAUUUUGCCAAUGGUUAAAGAGAUGGGAAAUUUUACUUUAUUUGCCGAAUAAGUGUUGGUCCUGUUUGAUAAUGAGCCAUUGAAUCGGUUUCUGUUUGCUUCAAAAUGUUUAUCAUUCUUUCCCAACAUGAAUUUUACUGGAGCUGCUUUACAUCUCAAAGUUCAUGGCCUCAAAUAUCAUGCUUAUCGGGGAAGCGGGGCCAUCUUUUUGAGCUAUAAAGACAGUGGUGGCCAGGCAAGCAAGGGAAACAUAUGUUAGUCUCAUUAUCUUUUACUAUUAUUUUCUUGUUUGAAUGUAAUGACUUUUCUCACCAAGUCAAAUCGGAAGAGCAACCACAUCUUUAGGAUUGGAGGUGAAGAUAACAAAGGAUGAUAAUUCAAGAGGAAUAGACUUUUCUCUGGCAGUGGGGACUGGAGAGUAGUGAUGAUAACUGAAUCACUUACCGAAAGAGACCACAUUACCUUAUGAAGUUCUAAAUUGAUUAACACUGAACUUUGUAGUUGCAUAAAUUUUGGCAUGAUUUUAAUUUCAACUUCAAUCAUCGUAUAUGGCUUCAUAGUUAUGCUCCCAUUAUAGGAUCACUGUACAGCUGUAACAGCAUAAUUUUCCCACAGAAUAUCUAUGUGCAUGAUUAUCAUAGAAUAGACUAGCUCGGGACUUUGCAGAUAUGCACAACUAGCUCAGUGUCUUUGUUUAUCUGAGUGGGCUUAUAUAAGAUUCUAGUUGGUGUCAGUUAGCAAAUUACUGACCAGUUAUGAAAAUGAAACCCAACCAUAUAUCGAUAUAUUUACGGAAGCAAUGGUGAGCUGCAGUACACACAAUCAGUGGUCUGCAAAGAUGGAACCGAUAUUCCUCAAAGUCAGAGUACCCAACUGAUGAUGCUUACAAGCUGUGCUUUAGAAGCAAGUCAAGAUUUAAUCAUUCAAAGCACACUUGAAGCUGCAAAGACAGGCCGUAUAUUCUCUAAGGUUUAUCAUUAGCUACUGCCCUGCAGUUGCUGAAGGGCAUCUAUCCUCUCGUUUAAUGCAUCGUUCACUGAUUGUCUGGGAGCAGCUGGAGAUCUUAAAACCCAUUUUUUGCAACAUCUGGAAGUAAUUCCUUUUAAAGUUCAGAGUUACUUGCAACUGUAGAGAAUGUCAUCAGACAGUUGGAGAUGAGGUGUGAUGUAAGUUGAAUUUGUCAAAGCCAACACAAAUAUGCAAAUAAGGGGAGAGAAAUCUGGAAUCCUACUUAGGAAAAAAAGAUGCAAAACCGAUCCCUUUUCUAGUUAACAGCCCUGCACUGCUUCCUGACCUCUCCUUGAUCUCCCACGAGCACCUCCGUCUCCCCGAGCUUCUU